AUGCCGCUGGAAUUGGGGGAGUUGGCUAGUCGCCAAGUUGGCGGACCACUCAAUCUUAGCUACACCCUUCGUGAUCGCAAGAAUUAUUUGCGGACAAAGCGACAACGAGAGAUGGCAUAUGGCGAAGUAGGUAGCAUGCUUAAGUAUUUUCAAGACAAAGUUGCAGAAAACCCAUCAUUCCAAUAUGCCUUGCAAAUGGAUUGUGAAGAGCAAAUAGCAAAUAUAUUUUGGGCUGAUGCUAAAAUGAUCAUGGACUACGCACAUUUGGGUGAUGUUGUUAGUUUUGACACCACUUUUGGAACAAACAAGGAGAGAAACUGUAGUUUUUGGUGCUGCUCUCAUGUAUGA
rnacentral:rRNA from 1 species